rnacentral:rRNA from 1 species
UACGGAGGGUGCGAGCGUUGUCCGGAAUCAUUGGGCGUAAAGGGCGCGUAGGUGGCCCGGUCAGUUCGUGGUGAAAGCGCGGGGCUCAACCCUGCGUCGGCCAUGAAUACUGCCGCGGCUGGAGCACUGUAGAGGCAGGCGGAAUUCCGGGUGUAGCGGUGGAAUGCGUAGAGAUCCGGAAGAACACCGGUGGCGAAGGCGGCCUGCUGGGCAGUUGCUGGACACUGAGGCGCGACAGCGUGGGGAGCAAACA